rnacentral:rRNA from 1 species
GACAGAGGGGGCAAGCGUUGCUCGGAAUCACUGGGCGUAAAGAGCUCGUAGGCGGUUUGUCGCGUCUGCCGUGAAAGUCCGGGGCUCAACUCCGGAUCUGCGGUGGGUACGGGCAGACUAGAGUGAUGUAGGGGAGACUGGAAUUCCUGGUGUAGCGGUGAAAUGCGCAGAUAUCAGGAGGAACACCGAUGGCGAAGGCAGGUCUCUGGGCAUUAACUGACGCUGAGGAGCGAAAGCAUGGGGAGCGAACAGG